AAUCUUCACAUUAUCACUGUUAAAUAUAAAAAAUUACAAACACUAUUCUCUAACGGCUUAUGUCUUUGAAGAAAAUAAUUGUCCCGCAUUAUUUAAUAUGAUAACAGGGCAGAAGAUUCUAAGUUCGAAUCAUACAAAGCUCCUAGCAUAAUUGAUCGUGAACCUAUCAAAAAAGUUUUAAACCCAAAUGUGAAAGAGAGUGUUAAACAAAAAAGUAUAAAAAUAUCGAUCAUUCUCCGUCAGUUUAAGCUUUUUGAGAAUAGCAAUUGUUCUAUAUAAUUUAACAAUUACACAUAUUACAUAUAA
rnacentral:lncRNA from 1 species